GACGAACGCUGGCGGCAUGCCUAAUACAUGCAAGUCGAACGCUUUUGUUUCACCGGGUGCUUGCACCCACCGAGACAAAAGAGUGGUGGACGGGUGAGUAACACGUGGGUAACCUGCCCAUAAGAGGGGGAUAACAUCCGGAAACGGAUGCUAAUACCGCAUAUUUCCAAUUGUCUCCUGACAGAUGGAAAAAAGGUGGCUUCGGCUACCGCUUAUGGAUGGACCCGCGGCGUAUUAGCUAGUUGGUGAGGUAAUGGCUCACCAAGGCGAUGAUACGUAGCCGACCUGAGAGGGUGAUCGGCCACACUGGGACUGAGACACGGCCCAG
rnacentral:rRNA from 1 species